rnacentral:rRNA from 1 species
GAUGAACGCUGGCGGCGUGCUUAAUACAUGCAAGUCGAACGGAAAGGCCCUGCUUUUGUGGGGUGCUCGAGUGGCGAACGCGGGAGUAACACGCGAGUAACCUGCCCUUGACUUUGGGAUAACUUCAGGAAACUGGGGCUAAUACCGGAUAGGAGCUCCUGCUGCACGGUGGGGGUUGGAAAGUUUCGGCGGUUGGGGAUCGACUCGCGGCUUAUGAGCCUGUUGGUGGGGUAGUUGCUUACCAAGGCUUUGACGGGUAGCCGGCAUGAGAGGGUGAACAGCCACAAUAGGACUGAGAUACGGAGCAGACGGCAACGGGCGGCAACAGUGGAAAGUCUGACACAGUGGGCGGGAGUGUGAGGCGAAGACGCCGCGUGCGGGAUGACGGGCUUCGAGUUGAGAACCGCUUUCGAAGGAGACGAAGCGUUAGUGACGGUAAUUAGUAAAGAAGCACCGGCUAACUACGUG